rnacentral:tRNA from 1 species
UCCUUGGUGGUCCAGUGGCUAAGGCUAUGCACUCCCAAUGCAGGGGCCCAGGUUCCAUCCCCGGUCAGGGAA